ensembl:lncRNA
UGUAUACAGAGAGGCCUAUUUGCCAGAGAACUAUGAGAGGCCUUUACAACCUACAUGUGCAGCCAAGAGCCAGCAGGAUAUUGGACCAGCAGUUAUCCAUCCACGAGGCACUGAAUGUUACAAACAACUUGAAUGAGCUGGGAGGUGGAUUCCUCCCUAGUUGAACUUCCAGGUCAAGACAUAGCCUGGCAACAGCUUGAUUACAGACUGUGGACGAUUUGACUCAAGGCUGAAUGAAGGGAGCAAUUGGUUAUCUUUCUUAUUAAGGAACCAGUACUCAGUGAACUCAGGCUCUGUUCUCAUAACAGGAAAAUGAGAUCAUGGCUCUCAGAAGAUCUGGAGAUUUGUGUGUCUUAAUGCCUGACCCUGGUGACUGCAGGAUGGGUAAUUUUUGCUAGAAAAUACCAUGUCACUCAUGCUGAGGUCUGAGCUCUUCAUUACAUCAAACAACUAAUGGACCAAGGUGUGGGCCCUGGGAAGACUGGGUUUCAGCCAAGUCCUUGUUCUAGACCAUGAUUUUGGUCAACAAACAAAUAAUGGCUAACCCAGUGAUUAGCAGUAUGUGAUCAAUAAAGAUUUUCCAAAUGAC